CCUACGGGUAGCUGCAGUAGGGAAUCUUCCACAAUGGGCGAAAGCCUGAUGGAGCAACGCCGCGUGGGUGAAGAAGGUCUUCGGAUCGUAAAACCCUGUUGUUAGAGAAGAAAGUGCGUGAGAGUAACUGUUCACGUUUCGACGGUAUCUAACCAGAAAGCCACGGCUAACUACGUGCCAGCAGCCGCGGUAAUCCGUAGGUGGCAAGCGUUAUCCGGAUUUAUUGGGCGUAAAGGGAACGCAGGCGGUCUUUUAAGUCUGAUGUGAAAGCCUUCGGCUUAACCGGAGUAGUGCAUUGUAAACUGGGAGACGUGAGUGCAGAAGAGGAGAGUGGAACUCCAUGUGUAGCGGUGAAAUGCGUAGAUAUAUGGAAGAACACCAGUGGCGAAAGCGGCUCUCUGGUCUGUAACUGACGCUGAGGUUCGAAAGCGUGGGUAGCAAACAGGAUUAGAUACCCCUGUAGUC
rnacentral:rRNA from 1 species